rnacentral:rRNA from 1 species
UAAUACGUAGGGGGCAAGCGUUGUUCGGAAUUACUGGGCGUAAAGGGCGCGUAGGCGGCACGGCACGUCGGGAGUGAAAGCCCGGGGCUCAACCCCGGAAUGUCUCUCGAGACUGCCGAGCUAGAGUGCGGAAGAGGCACCUGGAAUUCCCAGUGUAGCGGUGAAAUGCGUAGAUAUUGGGAAGAACACCAGAGGCGAAGGCGGGGUGCUGGGCCGACACUGACGCUGAGGCGCGAAAGCCAGGGGAGCGAACGGGAUUAGAUACCCCGGUAGUCCUGGCCCUAAACGAUGGAUACUUGGUGUGUGGGGUUCUCUAAGUCCCCGCGUGCCGGAGCUAACGCGUUAAGUAUCCCGCCUGGGGAGUACGGUCGCAAGGCUG